rnacentral:rRNA from 1 species
CCUACGGGAGGCAGCAGUGGGGGAUAUUGCACAAUGGGGGGAACCCUGAUGCAGCGACGCCGCGUGGGUGAAGGAGCGUUUCGGCGCGUAAAGCCCUAUCGGCAGGGAAGAAGGAGGACGGUACCUGACCAAGAAGCCCCGGCGAACUACGUGCCAGCAGCCGCGGUAAUACGUAGGGGGCAAGCGUUAUCCGGAUUUACUGGGUGUAACGGGGGCGCAGACGGCAGCGCAAGCCAGGAGUGAAAGCCCGGGGCCCAACCCCGGGACUGCUCUUGGAACUGCGCGGCUGGAGUGCAGGAGGGGCAGGCGGAAUUCGUGGUGUAGCGGUGAAAUGCGUAGAUAUCAGGAGGAACACCGGUGGCGAAGGCGGCCUGCUGGACUGCGACUGACGUUGAGGCCCGAAAGCGUGGGGAGCAAACAGGAUUAGAUACCCUAGUAGUC